rnacentral:rRNA from 1 species
GUGAGGAAUAUUGGUCAAUGGGCGAGAGCCUGAACCAGCCAAGUCGCGUGAAGGAAGAAGGAUCUAUGGUUCGUAAACUUCUUUUGCAGGGGAAUAAAGUGCAGGACGUGUCCUGUUUUGUAUGUACCCUGAGAAUAAGGAUCGGCUAACUCCGUGCCAGCAGCCGCGGUAAUACGGAGGAUCCGAGCGUUAUCCGGAUUUAUUGGGUUUAAAGGGUGCGUAGGUGGUUUGAUAAGUCAGCGGUGAAAGGUUUCAGCUUAACUGUAAAAAUGCCGUUGAAACUGUCGGACUUGAGUGUAAAUGAGGUAGGCGGAAUGCGUGGUGUAGCGGUGAAAUGCAUAGAUAUCACGCAGAACUCCGAUUGCGAAGGCAGCUUACUAAGCUACAACUGACACUGAAGCACGAAAGCGUGGGGAUCAAACAGGAGUAGAUACCCUUGUAGUCC